rnacentral:tRNA from 1 species
CAAAAGAGAGCUUGAGUAAGCAUUUCAUUUACACUGAAGAGAUAUUAUAAUAUAAUUCUUUUGA